UGUGUGUGUGAGAGGGAGAGAGGAAGGCUAACAGAGUUGUAUAUUUGAAAUGCUUCCAAGUAAUAUCAUAGUAUACACUGAUAUAAUAUUUAAAUGCUUAUAUCUGAAUUGUAUUUAUUUAGAUUUGCAUCCUAUGACCUGCUGAUGAGAUUCUGGGCCUUAAUAGAGCCAUCACUGCCAAAUAUGGUCAGUGUGACACAAGCACAGAGAGGCACCUUUACAGAGCCAAGUUCCACUGUAACUCGUUUCCUGCAGCCCAUUGAUGAGAUGUUCAUGUUUCUCAAUUACCUGGCACUGGGUUCAAAACAGCGUGAUCUUGCUGACCGGUAUGGAGUCCACCAGUCCACAGUCAGUCGGAUCAUUACAACAUAGAGCAACUUUCUGUACACUGUGCUAGGGUCUGUGAGGAUCUGGAUACCAGAGGAGAAAAUAAGGGCACAUCUGCCAGCUGAGUUUAAGGACUAUGCAGACACUACAGUCAUCCUGGACUGCACAGAGCUAAGGUGCCAGUGCCCUUCAUCACCUCUUCUCCAAAGUGAAAUGUUCUCAGCAUACAAGUCCCACUGUACUCUCAAAGGGCUGCUUGGAGUGGCUCCUCAUGGGGCGGUCACAUUUAUUUCUCAACUGUACGCUGGUUCCAUCAGUGACAAACAGAUCACGCGUGAGUCUGGAAUUCUCUCCCUUUUGAGACCUGGAAUGGCCAUCAUGGUCGACCGAGGUUUUCUGGUUGAUGACCUUGUACCUUGCAAGAUUUAUAGGCCAGCAUUUCUCUCUGGAAGAUCCCAGAUGUCUGCCUGUGAGGUCAGGGAGACCCAAGCAAUUGCACGCCUCAGGGUGCAUGUUGAGCGCCUCAUACGGCGUGUUAAGGAACACAAGUUCUUUGACACAGAGAUUCCACUUCGGCUUUUUGGCAACAUUAAUCAGCUGUAUACUGUUGCAUGUCUUCUGACGAACUAUGAAAACGGGCCUCUUGUAAAGGCUUGGGCAAAGAAGCCAGAGUAGCAGCAGUAGAAAAAAAUAUAAAAAUUAAUAACCUAUGACCAUUUGUAUAACUACUUUCUUUAAAUGUACCUUUGUAAAUUACUUUGUAUAAAUUGAAUUUUAUAAUUAAUGUUAUGUAUGCACUGCUGUACAUUGCACAUACUCUUUGAAUAAAGAACUACUGAAUUA